rnacentral:lncRNA from 1 species
AUGCAGGUGACUUCUCAUGUGGUCCGCUAUCCUUCUCUCUCCCUUGAAGGUGUUCAUGCAGAAGUCCAGAAAGUGAAGUUGCUGUACUGUUUUAUGUUUAUUUUGAACAGUCGCCUAGAGGUCCCGCUGAGGAGAGGUGUUCAUGCAGAAGUCCAGAAAGUGAAGUUGCUGUACUGUUUUAUGUUUAUUUUGAACAGUUCUGGGAGAAUAAAUCUGCCCCAGCUGGCAAAGAGAGAGCUGAAUCCUCUGGUUAUUUACACAACACAACGCAGAGAACUAACGGCAAACGGAGUUUAAGGCCAGACCGGCUACAUAAGCAAUGAGCCAAAUUUAGUAAUGCCAACAUACUGAAGGAACAACAUUUGUCUCUUAUAUAUGAUACACCUAUAUAUGCACUGUCAAAGAUACUUGUCUUUGAGUGAAGAUUUAAGGUGAUAAGACAUAUCAAUAACUGCAACUUGAAUCUGUACUGAGGCUCAGUAUUUGACACAGAGUUCAUGUUCACUGCUGUAAUAGCUAAUAAUGAUUAAUAUAACUAUAAUAUUGGCC